rnacentral:lncRNA from 10 species
AGAUAGAGCUGCUUGCGCCCCAACCUCUCCUGUCAGCCGGUUACUAGGAAAUCUGAAACAGCCACCCCUUUCAGUCCAUCCCUGGCACAUUCCUGAUCACCCUCCCUCCCAGGAUGGAUCUUGCCAGAAGCAGUUGGCUUGAAUGUUGCUUUCUGGCCUGCCCCCAGCCCCCAUCUUUUACCUAUAAAAACCCCAGGCUCUGUUGGCAGAGGGGUGGCACAGUGGCAGAGUGGAGCAGCAGAGAAGGAGAAAAGAGAAGCAGCAGCCAGGUGUCGGAGAGAAGCAGUUUGACUUCAGAGGGAUGGCUUGACAGCGAGACUUCAGAGAAGAGUUCCGCCAGGGACAGCUGAACUCUGGGAGAAGACUGCCUUUCCACUCCAUCCCUGUUCCAGCUCCCCAUCCUGCUGAGAGCCACUUCCACUGCUCAGUAAAAUCCUCCAUAUUCACCACCCUUCAAUUCAUUUGUGUGAUCUGAAUCUUCCUGGAUGCUGGACAAGAACUCAGGUACCAAGAGGGCAGGUGCAAAAGGCUGUCACCCUCACCAUCCACUGAGCUGGUAAACAUUUAAGCCAUCCCUGGGUGGCAAAGCUAAAAGGGCACACUGUAACAUAUGUCCUCUGAGGCUCUUGAGGUCACAGGUACCCCUGCUAGAUGCUGCUAUGGAGCUGCACAGAGUUCUACUUCUGGUGCCCAGAAGCAUUCAUCCCAGCCCUUGCACCCACUCACCUGUGUGCUCCCCCACCAUGAGGGGUUGAGAGCUGCAGGCUAAGUAAACCAGCCAACCCCUUCUUGAGUCCCUCAAAGGGGUCAGGGGGACUAUCUUGUUUCAGCUUGAGCCUGGGAGGUCAAGGUUGCAGUGAGCUAUGAUCACACCACUGCACUCCAGCCUGGGCAACAGAGCGAGACCCUGUCUCAAAAAAAGGAGUAUCUCCUCUGAUUUUAUCUUAUUUUCAAGAAACAAACAAAGCAAAAUUUAAAAAAAAAACAUUAAAUACAAACUUAGCAGGUGCUGUGGAAAUGUACGAGAGAAUGAAGAACAUCUUGGAUUCUCAAAGUCUUGCUCAGGCAGAGACACUCUGCACAAAGGAAUGAACCAUUCAAAAAAUCCACUGAAUAUAGAUUUAUGGAUGGGCGUGUUGGCUCAUGCCUAUAAUAAAAUCCUCCAUAUUCACAACCAAGAAGAUCCAAGCAGGACAGCAUUUUGGGAGGCUGAGGCAGAAGGAUCGCUUGAGCUCAGGAGUUCGAGACCAGCCUGGGAAACAUAAUGACACCCUGUCUCUACAAAAAACACAUAAAAUAAAAAUUAGCCAGGUGCAGUGGCAUGUGCCUGUAGUCCCAGCUACUCUGGAGGUUGAGGUGAGAGGAUCACUUGAGCCCUGCAGGUCGAGGCUGUAGUGAGCUGUGAUUGCACCACUGUACUCCAGCCUCGGCAACAGAGCGAGACCCUGUCUCAAAAAAAUAAAAUAAAAGUAGAUUUGCAAAUAUUCCACAAA